rnacentral:rRNA from 1 species
UGACGAGCGGCGGACGGGUGAGUAAUGUCUGGGAAACUGCCUGAUGGAGGGGGAUAACUACUGGAAACGGUAGCUAAUACCGCAUAACGUCGCAAGACCAAAGUGGGGGACCUUCGGGCCUCAUGCCAUCAGAUGUGCCCAGAUGGGAUUAGCUAGUAGGUGGGGUAAUGGCUCACCUAGGCGACGAUCCCUAGCUGGUCUGAGAGGAUGACCAGCCACACUGGAACUGAGACACGGUCCAGACUCCUACGGGAGGCAGCAGUGGGGAAUAUUGCACAAUGGGCGCAAGCCUGAUGCAGCCAUGCCGCGUGUAUGAAGAAGGCCUUCGGGU